rfam:Triticum aestivum genome assembly, contig: Triticum_aestivum_CS42_TGACv1_scaffold_405686_5BL
CUAGCAUGAUGAGGAAGACAAUUUUUGUCUGAUUUUGUUUGAUGAAUAAAUCCUCCUACACAUUCUGA